rnacentral:snRNA from 1 species
CCGUGAAAGCGUGGCCUAUCGAUCCU